AAUAUCCCAUUAACCUAAUAAGCCUAAGGACCGGUCAUCUCUUUCUCUCUAAUGUUGUAUCUCAGCCAGAGAACUCAAACAGACUAACAAAAUCGCUCCUCGAUGUCUGCACUCCGUACGACCCUCAAAUCAUAGGACAAAUGGCAAAAUCUAUUGAUUUGAUCUCUCUUUUCUUCUGCUCUCUCUAUUUUCAUCUCACUCAAUAUCACCUGCCCUCCCAUCACCUUUGUUGAAGCAAAAAUGCUAUACAAUUCCAUCAAAAGAUAGGAAAAUUCAAAGACCCAUCGAUUUUAAGGUAUUUUUGCCUUUGAUUCAACAGCUACGAAGCUUAAAUCGAUGGAUCCAAAGCCUCUCCACCUCCAAACCAUCACUCGUCUCUCAAAUCGACUGAGCAUAGGGGACCCCUUGCCCUUCUUUAUCUCUUUUUCAUCUGAAUUUUUCCUAUUCAAGAAUUCAAAAAUUUUGAAAUUUUUAAAGCUUCUCAAAAAGUCGUUGCAUCCCAAAAUUUGCCUAUAAAAAGAGGCCUUAUUCGCCCCUUUAGGAUAUGGUUCAAGUGUUAGAAAAAUUGAAGAAUUUUGAGUCCCAUACUAUUUCACUUCCCAAGUUUUCUUGCUUUAUUUUUAGUUUUCAAUUACCUUCCUCCCGACUCUUAUUGCUUUUCUUUGCUCGCAUUCGAAGUUGGUGAAAAAUCAUUCAUCGAAUCGUGGUUUAGGUUCGCUCUCCGAAAUAAAUUCAAGCUCGAAUCUCCAACGAGUAAGCCCCAGUUUGUUGCCCCAGAGAAGGUUGCUAUGAAUGUCCAACGGCCACUGCUUUCGUCCAAUUGUAAGUUUAAGGAUAGUUUAAUCUCCGUCGAAGAUUGACGAGUUUGUUAUUAUCCCCCCACCAAAGUAAGUAUAAUCUCAUUUAAGAUGCCAUAUGUUUCUCUCGUCAUUCAUGAACACAUUAUUUAAAUUUGAACCGAACUCUUUUAUUUAUGCAAAGUGUUCAAGUUUGGUGUGAGAAUUGUUAUGUUCAUCCUUGAACUUCAAAGGUCCGUUAAAAGAUUUUCUUCUCAAUCGUACCUCCUCUCGCCAUGUUCAAGUGUGAUUUUUUUAUUUUUUUUUAAGAAAAUGAGCUACUUUUUCUCUUUCUCCCUGUACCAUUCUAUAAUAGCUUCAAUUCUUGAAUAAAUAACUACUAUCACCAUCUUUUACUUAAAAAGUAAAAGCCUUUUAAAGAAGUGUGGAAAAUGAGAUUAGGCUUUUUGGUCUCCUCUCUUACUCACGCCAUUAGUUUAAGAAAAAUAUAUCUUCACUUUCUAUCCUUACUAUUUAUUAUUUUAAGACGAACAAGUUAAAUAUUAUAUUAAUUUUGAGAUGCUUGGUUUGAUGCGUUUCCAUGAACUUUUUUCUUAACUUUAAAAAUUAGUCAAAUUAAGUUCGAAAAGUAAGACUUGACAAUUACUUUUGAACGGAAGGACUAUCACAUUUUGAGUGGGAUGAGUAGCUAAGGACCUCAGCAUGAUUCGACCUACUUUACUACAUAGUAUUAGGUACCUGAUUUCAAUGGCAUCAUUUAAAAGAUAUUCAAUUAUCAAAAAUAAUAUUGAAAUUAUAAAUUCCAAAAUUAAAAGUUGAACAAAAUGCAAUAUAAAAUGAUUUCAUAUAUUAUUUCGAAAUUAUUAUCCUUUAUCCCGCAAAUCAAACAAACACUCAAGGUCAUUAAAUUAAAUCCACGUAGCUUUAACUCCUUUUCAAUACUAUCCCUUUUAUUCUCAAGAAUGCAUGUUAUCCCUAAUAACAGAAAUUAGCAUACCUAAGACUAUAAUUCUAAUAAAUAGCAAUACUAUUUCAAAAUUACAACUUAUAGCAAAAGUAGCAAUACUUUACCCUCUUUUUAGAGAGAAGCGUGUAUUUCUCCAUCAGUUUGCCUUUUCCCCUUUUUCACACAAUAUUCACUUCUUUCUCUCCAAUUAACCACAUCUUCUAUUUGUUUUUUUUCAAUUAUCUCUCAAUCUUUUGAUAAACAGUGUGCUCCAUAGUAUUGGCAUCUCAUCGUUUCACAUAAUUUAUAUUUUAUUUUAUUUUCGUAUUGCUUUCUUCUUUUAUUUUAUUUUUUGGUAUUUUAUUAUUUUUUUAGUAUUUUUCCAGCCAAGGAAUGCCGCUCCCGGUGAUGGAUGGGCGGGUGACUUCGAUUGGACUCGCCGGUUUAACAUAUUUUUGAUAAACACAUAGAUUAUUGUGAGUUUAAAGCUUAUCCAUAAGAUAGCCUCAUAGGCUAUGACAUCCAGUUUUCAACAUUUCUUGUUCUAUUAACAUGAUUUCCUCAUCUUUAUUACCGUGACCAUCAGCGGAAGUCGUUUUCAAGUGGUCUCUUGCUGAAAAAUAUUUUAUUUUUUUACUAUUUUGACGGGAGUACUGUUGUAACUUGUAUCUACACUUCCUUAGAGAUUCUCUAAUCUGUGGUUCAUUAUAGGAUUGCAAAAUAUCAGGAAGUAAAUCCUGGUGUUUUCACAAUAGUAACUUUCUCAUUCCUCUUUGUUGUCAUGUUUGGAGACUAGGGACAUGGUAUAUGCUUGUUUCUUGCAAGGCGUUUUUUGGUGAAUUUUCAAUGGAGGGAGGGUCUGUCCGGCGAAUUGCACCGUGACGGUAAUCAGCAGCGACAGUAAUGGCGUUUUACCAACGAGUAUUAGCUGAAAUCAAUCACAAUGGUUGAAUUUUAUUCGAUGAUUCGCUGAUUUUGCAGAUCCAGUCUUAGCUAGUUUUUAUGGAUUUUUCGAUGAUGUAAUAGCGGUGGAUCAGUAUAUUCCGACGAGAUUUCUAUAAUAUGUAAUUUUUACUGUAUAGAUAUGCAUUUGUAUUUUUUAAUGAUAAGAUUUGUAUUUAUAUAUGUAUUUGAUUUGGUACUGAUAAGAUUUGUAUUUGCUAUAAUGUAGAUAUGUAUUUGUAUUUGGUAUUGUAAAAUUUCUAUUUAUUACAGUAUAGAUAUGUAUUUUUUUAA